rnacentral:lncRNA from 1 species
AUUAAAUGUCAGCUGAAGGUUGAAUCAGGCAAAAACUAAAAGAAGACAACAGUUUGAAGCCUUCCCUUUCCAUUUCCAAACAUAAUACCAAAUGACUUAAAAUGAAUGAAGAUGCUUUAGAGCUCUGGGUGUCACGAUAAAACAUAAGCUUACACAUUCACUUUGACCCAUGUAUUGUCCUUUCUAAAAUGUUUCAAAAUGGGAAAAUCCUGUGUCAUUUUAUUUAAAAAAAAAUCAGGAAGCACCAUUGCAUGCAUGUGAGCCGAGUAGAUGUGCACACAAACAUGCGUGUGUGUACAUGAAGCACAACCAGCAUUUGGAAUAUCCUCCCUCAGGCAAAGCAAGGACCUAGAGGCUAACUCUUGUGGAUUGUAUCACCCUGGCUACCUGGCCAACUGGCUUCAAACUGGGCUUGACCACUGGGAGGUCCUGAGAGAAGACUGGAGGACAAGAAGAGGCAGAGACUGUGGUAUUUCUUUCUUCCUACUGUGGGCUGGAUUGCUGGCACUGGCUGUGUCCUUCCAGGAACACAGCUUCCAAAGAGAGGCCCAUCUGCAUGGCCCCAGCUCUCACUGUUCUUUGCUAACACGACUUCCAUUCAUGCCCCUUUAGGCUUGGAAGUGGCAAAGCCUGUCCACUCUUGCUAGUCUCUGAGUGCCUCAUAUCCCUGAUUUUUCCCUUUUGCUCUAUCCACAACUCAGGAAGUAAUUU